rnacentral:rRNA from 1 species
CUGGCGGCAGGCCUAACACAUGCAAGUUCGAACGGUAACAUUUCUAGCUUGCUAGAAGAUGACGAGUGGCGGACGGGUGAGUAAUGCUUGGGAACUUGCCUUUGCGAGGGGGAUAACAGUUGGAAACGACUGCUAAUACCGCAUAAUGUCUUCGGACCAAACGGGGCUUAGGCUCCGGCGCAAAGAGAGGCCCAAGUGAGAUUAGCUAGUUGGUAAGGUAACGGCUUACCAAGGCGACGAUCUCUAGCUGUUCUGAGAGGAAGAUCAGCCACACUGGGACUGAGACACGGCCCAGACUCCUACGGGAGGCAGCAGUGGGGAAUAUUGCACAAUGGGGGAAACCCUGAUGCAGCCAUGCCGCGUGUGUGAAGAAGGCCUUCGGGUUGUAAAGCACUUUCAGUUGUGAGGAAAAGUUAGUAGUUAAUACCUGCUAGCCGUGACGUUAACAACAGAAGAAGCACCGGCUAACUCCGUGCCAGCAGCCGCGGUAAUACGGAGGGUGCGAGCGUUAAUCGGAAUUACUGGGCGUAAAGCGCACGCAGGCGGUUUGUUAAGCUAGAUGUGAAAGCCCCGGGCUCAACCUGGGAUGGUCAUUUAGAACUGGCAGACUAGAGUCUUGGAGAGGGGAGUGGAAUUCCAGGUGUAGCGGUGAAAUGCGUAGAUAUCUGGAGGAACAUCAGUGGCGAAGGCGACUCCCUGGCCAAAGACUGACGGCUCAUGUGCGAAAGUGUGGGUAGGAACGU